rnacentral:tRNA from 9 species
GCUCCCUUCGUCUAGUGGUUAGGACGUCGGCCUCUCACGCCGGUAACAGGGGUUCGAAUCCCCUAGGGAGCGCCA